rnacentral:rRNA from 1 species
AUUGAACGCUGGCGGCAGGCCUAACACAUGCAAGUCGAGCGAGCGGCGGACGGGUGAGUAAUGUAUGGGGACUGCCCGAUAGAGGGGGAUAACUACUGGAAACGGUGGCUAAUACCGCAUACUAUCGGAUAACCCAUAUGGGAUUAGCUAGUAGGUGGGGUAAAGGCUAACCUAGGCGACGAUCUCUAGCUGGUCUGAGAGGCUGAUCAGCCACACUGGGAAUGAGACACGGCCCAGACUCCUACGGAGGCAGCAGUGGGGAAUAUUGCACAAUGGGCGAAAGCCUGAUGGAGCCAUGCCGCGUGUAUGAAGAAGGCCUUAGGGUUGUAAAAUACUUUCAGCGGGGAGGCGGUACUCGCAGAAGAAGCACCGGCUAACUCCGUGCCAGCAGCCGCGGUAAUUC